GAGUUUGAUCCUGGCUCAGGAUGAACGCUGGCGGCGUGCUUAACACAUGCAAGUCGAACGGUGAAGGAGAGCUUGCUCUUUGGAUCAGUGGCGAACGGGUGAGUAACACGUGAGCAAUCUGCCCCUGACUCUGGGAUAACAGUUGGAAACAGCUGCUAAUACCGGAUACGAGACGUGACCGCAUGGUCGACGUUUGGAAAGAAUUUCGGUCAGGGAUGAGCUCGCGGCCUAUCAGCUUGUUGGUGAGGUAAUGGCUCACCAAGGCGUCGACGGGUAGCCGGCCUGAGAGGGUGACCGGCCACACUGGGACUGAGACACGGCCCAGACUCCUACGGGAGGCAGCAGUGGGGAAUAUUGCACAAUGGGCGAAAGCCUGAUGCAGCAACGCCGCGUGAGGGACGACGGCCUUCGGGUUGUAAACCUCUUUUAGCAGGGAAGAAGCGAAAGUGACGGUACCUGCAGAAAAAGCGCCGGCUAACUACGUG
rnacentral:rRNA from 1 species